AUGAAGACGGGGCCGGGGGGCCCCCGAGGGGGUCUCCGAGGGGGUCUCCGUGCGGGAAUCAGGGUCGCCACCCAGCCGAGAGCGGCCCCUGACGUUUCUGCCGCGCGCUGGGACCGAACCUACAGGAAGCAAAACCCUAGAGGAAGAAGUCGGUGGCUUUUUGGCUCGAAGACAAAAUGGAGCCCCGCCGGUGCAGCCUGGGCUCCCUCAGGCACAUCCCCAGCCACUGCAGGUGUCCCCGGAGGCCUUGAAGUCCUCCCGCGCGUCUCGAUGCCACCAGUUUUUGUUUCUUUGAGCCUGCUCUGUGGGAAUGUUCUUUUCAAGGGCGACAAUGGGGAACCGAGGAACAACACUGGUGAAAUCACACAGCCCUGGAGCACCAGGCCUUCCAGUCGCUUCAUAAUUAGAAAACAAAACACUCAGCUACAAUACAAAUGAUGUUUUUACACUCUCUGGCUACUGAAUUAUUUAUUAAUACAAAGCUUUAUCACCACUCUAUUACCUACCACCCUAAAAGUAGGUUACAGGAAAAACUGAGAACCCAUUCGGGAUGAACCAGAAGAAUGAAAGGGCUCUUUCUAAAAAGUAGUCCAUGUUUAUGUUACUAUUUUGAGUUUUGCUGAACACCC
rnacentral:lncRNA from 1 species